AUUUUACCAUUCAAUUGAGGUCAGCAGCUGCUGCAAAAACUUGAAUUUUUAGGUGGGUGUUGCAAAUCUAAUUCACUGAUGUAUGAAAACACAAGCUUUCUAAUGUCAGCUUUGAGUUUAGCACAUACCUCAGAUACCCUCGUUUCUUUACUUUUAGAAAUAUCCCUCCUACACAUUAAUGAAGCAGU
rnacentral:lncRNA from 1 species